rnacentral:rRNA from 1 species
CGGGUUGUAAACUGCUUUUGUACGGAACGAAACGGCCACCUCUAAUAAAGGUGGCUAAUGACGGUACCGUAAGAAUAAGCACCGGCUAACUACGUGCCAGCAGCCGCGGUAAUACGUAGGGUGCGAGCGUUAAUCGGAAUUACUGGGCGUAAAGCGUGCGCAGGCGGUUAUAUAAGACAGAUGUGAAAUCCCCGGGCUCAACCUGGGACCUGCAUUUGUGACUGUAUAGCUAGAGUACGGUAGAGGGGGAUGGAAUUCCGCGUGUAGCAGUGAAAUGCGUAGAUAUGCGGAGGAACACCGAUGGCGAAGGCAAUCCCCUGGACCUGUACUGACGCUCAUGCACGAAAGCGUGGGGAGCAAACAGGAUUAGAUACCCUGGUAGUCCACGCCCUAAACGAUGUCAACUGGUUGUUGGGUCUUCACUGACUCAGUAACGAAGCUAACGCGUGAAGU